CCCGCCUACUGGCCGCCUGUUCGUGGCUGGCUGGCGGAGGCUGUCACUCCCAGGCGGUUUCCCUGAAGACCGGGCUCUGCUGGGGGCGGGAGGAAGAGGGGCCGGACUGGGGCCUGAAGAGCCUUCGCUGAAGCCGCCGUUUUCGCGGCUGCUAUGAUCAGCGGACUAGGCGCCCUCCGCAGUUCCGCGCAGCGCUAGUCGCGGCCGUGCGCUCGCCGUCGCCGUCUGGGUCCCCAGUGCGGCCGCUCCGGCGGCUCCCUCGGCUCUUCCAAGGCUAGGCGAGGCGGAGGCAGGAUGAAGAUGACUGUGGAUUUCGAGGAGUGUCUGAAGGACUCUCCCCGCUUCAGGGCUGCUUUGGAAGAAGUAGAAGGAGAUGUGGCCGAAUUGGAACUGAAACUGGAUAAGCUUGUGAAACUUUGUAUUGCAAUGAUUGAUACUGGAAAAGCCUUUUGUGUUGCAAAUAAACAGUUCAUGAAUGGGAUUCGGGACCUGGCACAGUAUUCUAGCAAUGAUGCUGUAGUUGAGACAAGUUUGACCAAGUUUUCUGACAGUCUUCAAGAAAUGAUAAAUUUUCACACAAUCCUAUUUGACCAAACUCAGAGAUCAAUUAAGGCACAGCUUCAGAACUUUGUUAAAGAAGAUCUUAGAAAAUUCAAAGAUGCCAAGAAGCAGUUUGAAAAAGUCAGUGAAGAAAAAGAAAAUGCAUUAGUAAAAAAUGCUCAAGUACAAAGAAACAAACAGCAUGAAGUUGAAGAAGCCACAAACAUUCUGACAGCAACAAGAAAAUGUUUUCGACACAUUGCCCUUGAUUACGUACUGCAGAUUAAUGUUCUUCAAUCAAAAAGGAGAUCUGAAAUCCUAAAAUCAAUGCUAUCCUUUAUGUAUGCACAUUUGGCCUUCUUUCAUCAAGGAUAUGAUCUAUUUAGUGAACUUGGGCCCUACAUGAAGGAUCUUGGUGCACAGUUGGAUCGACUGGUUGUGGAUGCAGCAAAGGAGAAAAGGGAAAUGGAGCAAAAACAUUCCACAAUUCAACAAAAGGCUGCAUUACAGGAUUUCUCCAGUGAUGAUUCUAAGUUAGAAUAUAAUGUAGAUGCUGCAAAUGGCAUUGUUAUGGAAGGAUAUCUGUUCAAACGAGCCAGCAAUGCCUUCAAAACUUGGAACAGGAAAAAGCCCGAUCAUACCAGACGCUGGUUUUCAAUACAGAACAAUCAGUUGGUUUACCAGAAAAAGUUUAAGGAUAAUCCCACUGUGGUGGUGGAGGACCUAAGGCUCUGCACAGUGAAACAUUGUGAAGACAUAGAACGGCGAUUCUGCUUUGAGGUGGUCUCUCCAACAAAAAGCUGUAUGCUUCAGGCAGAUUCUGAGAAACUACGCCAGGCAUGGAUCAAGGCUGUUCAGACCAGUAUUGCUACUGCUUAUAGAGAGAAGGGUGAUGAAUCAGAGAAGCUGGAUAAGAAAUCAUCUCCAUCCACAGGAAGCCUGGAUUCUGGAACUGAGUCAAAAGAUAAAUUAUUGAAAGGAGAAAGUGCACUGCAGCGAGUCCAGUGUAUCCCUGGCAAUGCCAGCUGUUGUGACUGUGGUCUGGCAGACCCACGGUGGGCCAGCAUCAACCUGGGCAUCACCCUGUGUAUCGAGUGUUCUGGGAUUCACCGGAGUCUUGGAGUUCAUUUUUCAAAAGUACGAUCUUUAACUUUGGAUACCUGGGAGCCUGAGCUUUUAAAGCUUAUGUGUGAGUUGGGGAAUGAUGUUAUAAAUAGAGUUUAUGAAGCUAAUGUGGAAAAAAUGGGAGUAAAGAAACCACAACCAGGACAAAGACAGGAGAAAGAGGCAUAUAUCAGAGCAAAAUACGUGGAGAGGAAAUUUGUGGAUAAAUAUUCUAUAUCAUCGUCACCUCCUGAGCAGGAAAAAAAGAUUGUCUCUAAAAGUAGUGAAGAAAAGAGGCUGAGCAUUUCUAAACUUGGACCAAGUGAACAAGUCAGAGCAUUUCCCCAAAGUUCAGUGGUUGCUGUAAAUAGCGACGAGGCCAGGCGGGAGUCUCUGUUCUGUCCUGAUGAGCUAGAUUCACUCUUCUCCUACUUUGAUACUUCUUCAAAACUACGUAGUAUCAAAAGUAAUGACAGUGGAAUCCAGCAGAGCUCUGAUGAUGGAAGAGAAUCUUUACCCUCCACGGUGUCAACGAAUAGUUUAUAUGAGCCUGAGGGAGAAAGGCAAGAUUCUUCUGUGUUUCUCGACUCUAAGCAUCUUAAUCCAGGACUCCAGCUUUAUAGGGCGUCGUAUGAAAAAAAUCUUCCUAAAAUGGCUGAAGCUUUGGCUCAUGGCGCUGAUGUGAACUGGGCUAAUUCCGAGGAAAACAAAGCAACACCACUUAUUCAGGCUGUAUUAGGGGGCUCUUUGGUGACAUGCGAGUUUCUCCUACAGAAUGGUGCUAAUGUGAACCAAAGAGAUGUGCAAGGGCGGGGACCACUGCACCACGCCACCGUCUUAGGGCACACGGGGCAGGUAUGUUUAUUCCUAAAACGAGGUGCCAAUCAACAUGCCACUGAUGAAGAAGGGAAGGACCCUUUGAGUAUAGCUGUAGAAGCAGCCAACGCAGAUAUAGUGACCUUGUUACGUUUAGCAAGAAUGAAUGAAGAGAUGCGGGAAUCAGAAGGACUUUAUGGACAGCCAGGUCAAUAUUCUACUAAUAACCAUACUGAAAUGCAGUAUAAGAAAUGUAUCCAAGAAUUUAUCAGUUUACAGUUGGAAGAGUCAUAGUUCUUUAGCAAGCUAACCUAAUACUAUAGAGUUUUUAUAAAUUACUUAUAAAAUGUGAGUUGUUAGUUAUGUACUGUAAUUACUGAAAUCUUGAGAGUGGCUCACUCUCAAGCCUUUAAAAAUCUGUAACUAUUCCUCCUACAGUACACAUUUCCUUGCUGUAUUUAAUUCUGGCUGCUGACUUCUUUAUCUGCUGUACAGAUGUCUUCCACAUACAUUCCAGUAAAGUGAAUGGAAUGAUACUGUAUCUUUCUACACUUACAGCAGCACAACAGUCAUUUUCUUUUUGGCUGUCAAGUGAAUAUAACAAAAUUGUUUUCUUUUUGUCAUUCAGGGAAUUUCUAUAAAUUGUGUUCAGGGAAAAAACCAAAUCACUAUGUGUUGACGUAUAAAAAGUCAGUAUGGAAAAUACCUAGAAAAAGUUUAUUGAAGUAAGAGUUCUAUAUUUGACUUAAAAAUGAGUUGGAGGUUUAGAAAUAAAAUUUACCAGUAGGUUAAGAAGUUCAUAAUGAGAAUAGUUUAUAAGGUAUAGGGAAGAGGUCUCAUUUUAUCUUGUAGCUUUGCCCCAAGCAGUUGUACAAUAUCUGUUGGAUAAAUGGAAGUAUUUAGAACAAUAAUUUGUGAACUUGAUGGCAAAGUAGACUUAUUAGAGAAAUCUCAACUCAAGAUCAGCUCACAUCUCCUUUUGAGCAAUUUUUAAUCUUUGAGUUGAGAUGUUAAAAAUAGCAAGAAAUGUUGCUGAUCAGAUUUUUCUUUGAUGAAUACAUCCUAAUUAGACAUUCUUCACAAGACUAUAAUAAUUAGAUCUCCGGUUUCAUGAAUUUGAGUAUAUGAAUUACUGAUUUAUCUGUUUUAAAUUCAUAUACAUGCUGGUUAAAAAUUUUAGGAAUUCAUGACUGAAAUAAUUGAGACUGUUCAGUUUUCAGUGAGUAUAUUUGACUUUUUUCAAUGAAUAUUAUUUUAAAAGUGGCUUGUGAUUUCAUCUAUUUUUCCUGUUUAAGUAUGUUUUGAGAUUUUUGUACUUUAUGCUAGUAUCAGCCAUUUACUUUUAUUUUAACCAGAUUAAUAUGUAAUUAAUAUAAAUAUGGGGCCAUUCCUUUCUCAGAAGACUGUAUUUAUUACUUAGUUUUGGUCUAAUUUAAUAGGGAACAAGUAAGACCUUUGAGAAUAGAGGCACUUCAGCUAGAUACUUCUAAUCUAGGGUGUCCCACUUUAAUCCUAUGGAUCAAAUAAUACUACUGACUCAUGAUGUACCAAGAUGUAAGAGUGCUGAUUAAGGGUGAAGUCUCAGCAUUAAUUCUGAAUUUCACCCAUUUGUUUUAAACUUGAAUGUUAGAUUUUAAAUAAGUUAUAAUUUUGUAAUAGAUAUACUUAACUGAUAGUAUUACUAGGCCAUUUUUGAGGCCUUUGUGUUUAAGCACUUUAAAAUGAAAAUUAUUCAAAGAACAUGACCUGAUAUGCGAGAUAAGAGUGAACGUCAAGAUUUUAAGUUAAUUUAUUUCCCCCCCUGACAUUUUAAACAUAUGCGUCUGGUCAGCUGCUCUCUCCUUAAGGUGUUUGCCGAUGAAGUUGCACCCAGCUGAAUAGUCAGAAGGUCACUGGUCGACUUUGCCCUGGAGCUGGGCAGGUCCUUUAUGUUCUUGCAGCUUCUAGUUCCACCCAAACUGCUUGGGCUUCUGCCCCCAUUUAGGAGCAUUUCACUGUCAUUUUAUGUAUUAGUUUAUGAGUGUAUACUUUCCAUUCAUCAGUAGAAAGAUUUUUCCAAUUUAUGGGAAUGAAUUUUUUUAAAGCCUCAUUUAGAAAAACAAGCUUUCCUACUACCCUCAAGUUUUAGUUUAGAAAAGAUUAAAAAAUAGAAGUCUAGAGAUGGUAUAUCACUAGAAUAAAAUGAGAUUCUGCUUUGAUAAUAAUUAGGUUUUAAAUUCAUUUAGAGGGCCUCACAUUUGAAGCAGAACAAUUUUAUACAGGUUACAUGAUGAAAUGGCUUAGCAGUUGUUCUCUGGUUCCUUUUCCUUUAUAAGUUUUUGGAGGGUAGAUGUUUUUGCUCAGGCAACAGGUCCUUUUUCCCCUCUCUGCUUAUCACUGUAAAUUGCUCUGUCAUAGAUUUUGGUUGGUUGUCUUAUCCAGAUCUUUUUUUUUUUGUUACCUAACAGUAGAAGGGAAACCUCAGAAUUCUGGGUAGUUUUAAAAUGCAAGUGGAGUUCUGUGCUGCAGUGGAUUAAGGAUCCAGCAUGGUCACUGCAGUGGCUUGGGUCACUGCUAUGGCUCAGGUUCAAUCCCUGGCCUAGGAAUUUCCACAUGUUGUGUUUGGCCAAAAAAAAAAAAAAAAAAAAAAAACAGGUAUUUUCAUUAUGAAGAGCCCUACCAUUUAAAAUAUUCAGAUAUAAUCUUCAGAUAUCAUGAACCUCUUUUUAGGAAAUCCCACUUUUGAACUAUCAACAAUCCUAAGGUCCUGAGACUCCCUAUUUCUUUGCAAGGUGAUGUAAGAGCACAUAUUUCCUAAACAGAAGAUGUAUUCCCCUUUCAGUUCCCACAACUCUUAGGAGGAUUGGGUAGGUGGGUGCAGUAUCACACGCUGCUCUCCACUGUUGGAAACCAGGUUGGUGCUUCCCAGUUUCUGGCUCUGUGACUACUCUUUUUUUUUUUUUUUUUUAAUUUUAUAAUGAUUUUUAUUUUUUCCAUUAUAGCUGGUUUAUAGUGUUCUGUCAAUUUUCUACUAUACAGCAAGGUGACCCAGUCACACAUACAUGUAUACAUUCUUUUUUUUUCACAUCAUCAUGCUCCAUCAUAAGUGACUAGAUAUAGUUCCCAGUACUAUGUAGCAGGAUCUCAUUGCUUAUCCAUUCCAAAGGCAAUAGUUUGCAUCUGUUAACCCCAAAUUCCCAAUCCAUCCCACCCCCUCUCUCUCCCCCUUGCAACCACAGGUCAGUUCUCUAUGUCCAUGAUUUUCUUAUCUGUGGAAAGGUUCAUUUGUGCCAUAUAUUAGAUUCCAGAUAUAAGUGAUAUCAUAUGCUGUUUGUCUAUGACUCUUCUUGAUUGUUGGCAGAGUUUCUUAGCCAAUGAAAAUCACCUCUUUAGUGAACCACUGGUUAUGUGAGCAUGUUGCUGGCAAAGACUGAUGGUUGAUCUAAUCAGUUAUAAAAAUGAAGCUGUAAUCAACCCAGAAAGAGCAGGAUCAUACACUGAUCACCUAGGGGUGGGGUCAUACAUGCUGCCGAAUCUUGCAGGGGAGUACAUUUAAGAGAAAAUCAGCAAAAUCUUGGAUCAUAACUGCUGUUGCAGUGCUUAUUCUGAAUACCAAAAAUCAAAAACCUUUUUAAACUAUCAGUGGAAAUUUAGCAGUCCAUUUUUAAAAACUCACAUCUGUCCAGGCAUAUAGGAAAGUUAACCUUCUGAAGAGAAACAGAAUGUGAUUAAGUAAUUUAAAGAAUAUAACUUAGUAUUACAAAUAUUGGGUGGUUAGUUGUUUACUGUUGAUAAUAAAGUGUUAAAUGUACUUAUAUGAACUUUCCAGGGCAACAUAUUCUGGGUUGUGGUUUAUGUAUUCUAGUGUAGAACAAGUUAUAUUUGCUGUGGGAAACAUUUCAAGUGAUUAAAAUUGUAUUUAAAAAAUCACAUUGAAGUUCAAUUUGUGUUAACUAUAUUAAAUAUCUUAGUCACUAUUGUUAUUGUAAUGUAUGCUUUUUGACUAUAUUUUGAGGUCUAAGAAAGGUAUUAUAUUAAUUAAUGUUUGGUUAGAAACUGAAUGUUAACAAAAAGUUUUGUGUAUGUGUGUGAAGGUGAGACUUCUUUUUGUAUUGUAUUAACUCUUCUAAAUGUGUUCAGUAAGUGAAACCAAUGAUUAGUGUAGCACCAACACUUUCCUUCAAGGAAGCAUUUAAUUCAGUGAAUAAAAAGUCUUAUAAUUUAUUUUGCAUGGUACAAUGGUACUACUAAAAUGUACUUGUGGACUGGAUACUAGAUAAUUUAAAAACAAAAAACUGGAGAACCACAAAAAGAAAAAAAUCCCAUAGCUUGUUAUGCAAAAUAUGCAUUGCUAAUAGUAGAAGCCAUAUAUUGCCAUUGUACUGUUGUAAUACUUAAGAAUGCUCAUCUGGUGCUAUCUGUAAACUAUUUGGCAUUAGUGUCUGCUAGAUCCUUCUUCCUACUUUUUCUCGAAUGUAUAAUGUGUGCCUUUUAAGUUACUUCUGGUGUUGAAUGGUACAAUCAGUGUGGUAUUUUUGUAUUAUAAUCUGCACUUUACACUUUCUUGGAAAGUAAAAUUCCAGACUCUCCAGUUCGAAUAGUAUUUUUAAAAUAUUUAUAAUGUUUACAAUAAAUAUUUUAAAUAUUUUAAUUCAACAUCUAAGAAUAAGAAAAAUUUUAAAUAUUUUGUAUGGUUUGUUAAUUGAUAUUUUCAUGUUUGUCUCUUCUUAGUUUAUUUUAUAUCUUUUAGAUUGGCUAAAAACGGGAAUAGAUUGUAGUUUAUCUUUUAAUGUAGGGUAAACUUUUAUGAAAUCAUGGGUAUAUUUGGAUUGUCUCACCAGUUGUUCCAGCAUAUCAACCUUUAUUUUUAUUGUUUUAGUAACAAUGAUAUGAGUUAGAUCUUACUCUUAGCCUACCUAUUAUGAUUCUCUUCUUACUGUAUUUUUUUCUUUUUAAAGUAGAUUGAUUCAGGUCAUGAGAAAAUUUCCAGGGCUAAAUGAAAACUAUCUAGAGAUUUUAAUAACUUGCUUUUUACAUUGACUAAAUAUUAAAAGCAUUAAAAUUUUUAUUGAAAAUCCUGGGUUAUUCUGUUAGACCUUUUUACUAGAUCUUUAUCCCUCUCCACCCAUUUUUUUUUUUGAUUCUCCAGCUUUUGGUAUGACAUCUGUUGCCUCAAAAAAAAAAAAAAUCUCGCUUUUUAAAAGCUGACAAAACUUACUGCACUAUUAGCAACAACUAUAGCAAUGAGUUUGUAACAAGAUGGAUGCAAGGUAUUUUAUGGGAAAUAAUUAUAAAACCAUGUUGCACCAAUAAUCACCUAAAACAGUAUUUGAGAGUCUAAAUCUUGAAAACAGAACUAUGCCAAACAUAAACAAAUUAAUGUGUUUUACAGGAAUCAUUCAUGAUGAAUGAUUCAUUUUGAAAAUAAGAUUUUAUUUUAUGCAAAUCUAUUGUCUGAGGAGUUAAUCUGUAUGUGUGUAUAUAGUUUUUCAUCACAAGAAGAAUAGUAUUUAAUCUGCUAUAAUAUCAGUAUCUAUACACUUCUCUGCAAGCAUAUUUGUACGUACAUACACAUGUAUUACUCUAACAAAUGUCUGGUGUUUAUUAUGCUUCUCUCAUAGCAUCCCUGCUCGUAUGACUUACCCUUAACAAAAACACUUCUGACUAAACUAUGAUUUUAAAGUCAUUUUCUAGGCUUUAUUAUUUUAUAAGCUUAGUAAACACUGGAUUAGGUGCAUUAGUUUUAGUUAAGUGUUGAAAUUUGAGUACAGGCUUACUUUUUCAUAUGUGUUUAAAAUACCUUUAAUGAAAAAAUAUUAAAAUAGGAGGCUUUUUUCUUUCUACCUGGUCUUGUCUUUCUAAUAACUUGCAUCCAUCAGAAACAUUAGUAUUUGUUUUUGGUCUUUUCUUUGACCUUGAUCAAGGGAAAUAUUUAUUUAAAAUAUGCCUGGUUUAUUAUACUUCAUUCAGAAUGACUUUUAUUUCUCAUGUGUUAAUAAAUGUAUUUCUUCACAUUGCUUUAAAACACUUGCAUCUUGCUCUUUUCUAACUCUGAACUUUCCUCUGUGGCUGCAUCUGAGGUGCUUUUUUCAGGUGAUGAAACUUACCAGGACAUUUUUCGUGAUUUCUCCCAAAUGGCGUCCAAUAAUCCAGAGAAACUAAACCGUUUCCAGCAAGAUUCACAGAAAUUUUGAAUUUUUUUAAGAAGGGGAAAAUAGUAAAUCUGGUUACUCCCUAAAGUAUACAUCUGAAAACUCACAGAUUUUUACUGUUUCAGUGUCUACUUAAUUUUAGUAGAUACUGAGUGGUUUGAAAAAAAGGUGCCCAUUCAUUGAUAUUUUUAUAAAUCAAAACAUAGAGCUCAAAUAGUUGGGAGAGGAACCUACCUUAAGACUUGGCUUAUUUUUUUUUUAAUAUCUGUUUAAAGGUCUAUUUUUUACAGAUAAAAGUUGAAUCUAGACUUAGCCCAUCUCUAGGUUGCAAGAUGGUAAGAGUUUAGACAGAUCUCUUUUUGCCAGUGGGUGAUAGCAUUGAUUUUUUUGUUGUUGUUCUGAGCACUGUGCCCAGGGUCGUUCCUUCAAGUACGUUUGCAUCACAUGGGAGCCUGAUGUCCUAUAUGGCUGAAGAGUAUGUCUUUGCUAUAGCUCCCUGAUGUUGGUGGCUCAGAAAUAGCUUUUUUGCUUUUUGGUAGCCUAGCUAUCAUAUACAUAUUAUGUAAUUUAACUGUUAGAGCUAGAGAAUAUGUGUCCCCUACUUGUUCGUAAAUGCAGUACUCAGUUAUUGUCCAGUGCUUUAACAUACGUAUAAUGACUGUACAGAUUGACAUAACUCAGUUCUUUAGAUUUAUUCCAUUUUAUGAAGCAAAAAGAAGCCCUUAACAUUUUUUUUUUUUUUUUUAAUUACCAGAAGACUCUCAUAGAAGUUGUAGUUCUCUAUUGUUGGGUUGAUUCCUUAAAAUCUUGACAAACUUAUUGAUGUAAUAAAACUGUGUUUCAAAGGUUACUUGAAUGUUGCAAAAUUAUGCUUUCAUCAGAUUAUAACCAUCAAAGGAAAUGUUGAUUUAUAAGAUAAUGUGGAACAUUUUUAUAUUUGAAAUUUGUCCUUUUCAAGAUAGAUUUUUGUUACUGCUCCUAGUGAAAGGAAAAUCUCCAUAAAAGGAGGGGGGAAAAAACCUGUUUUUUAGUUUAUCCUAAAAUAUAUGGCAAUAAAUUGCUUUUUAAUCUUUCUAACUUCUACCCUGUGUACUCAUACACAGUAUAUACUCUUUUAAAUUAUAGCAUCUAUAUUGCUUUAGUAUUUAGUUACAUGAGUCAUAGACCCUUGAGUUUUAAAGUAUUAUGGAUAUACUAAUUUUCCAUGUUUAUAUUACAGAUUAGUCCGAUUGACACAGCUUGUCAGAAGUAUAAAAUAAUUUGCCUUAUGGUUUCUUUCUAAUAUUGUCAGCAAUUAAGUUUAAUUGUCUUUUCCAUGUUACGUGUAAUAUUACUGAUACUCAGUUUCUAAAUAAGAGAGAUUUUAAAACUUGAGUUAUCAGAUAAGUGGAGAAAUUAUAUUGGAUGAAUAAUAAAUUUUCCAACAUUUUCCAAUGAGAAGUAGUAGAAUUUUCUAAGUUGAUUGACCUUCAAAUCAGAAUUUGUCUACACAUCAGUUAUACUAAAAAUUCACAUCACAAAAAGGUUCCAUAUUUGGCCAAAUUGCCUGCAUGUGAUGCUUAGUUAAUAAUAAUCACUGUGCAUUAGAUCAGGAUAAAAAUAUAUUUAAGGAUUAUUUCUAAGGCAGUGCUAACUGUCAAAGCCUUGUAUGUUAACUACAACAAUAACAGAAACAUUAAAUCUUUGCUGAUUCACCUCAGUCACAGAUCACCUGACUGCAAAAGUUGGAUUUGUAGCAUUUUUAUUAGUGUACCUUGAAAUUAAUUGUCUGAAAGCUCAAGGAUAAGGAAAUCUGUUGAGAAAAGAAAGAAAGAAGGAGAAAAGGGAAGAAAAGGAAAAGCCCCACUUUUCCUUUGUGGUGUCUCUUUCCUGUUUUGACCCUAGGACUUCAGCUGACCUUUACCUGAGGCAGUUUUUCUUUUGGAUCCAGCCUUUGGUCUUCAGGGCACUUUUGGGAUCUCUAGUUGUGAAAGCAGUUCUUUAUGACACUCUUAACAUCUGUGGCUUCAGUCAUGAGUUGUUAAUGUGGCAGUAAUUAGUGUCUACUUAAAUUUAGUAAUUAGAGAUGUACUCACAGUUCACUAAAGAUGAUCAACAUCAUGGUUCUAAAUAUCUUCAGAGAAAGUGAAAUCUUUAAGAGUACAAGGGUACCUGUACAUACAAAAAUACAUUGCUGUGGCUUGAUUUCUUGAAGGUGCCAAGACUCAACUUGCAUUAAAUUUGGCAGAAAUGAUUCAGUAGUAUAACAGCAAGGCUUUAAAGUAAAUUAAUGGUUACAAGUAGUUACAGAGUAGCUUGGUUCUUAACCAAGGUGAAUUUAGCUGUGUCAACUAAUAGCUUUUCUAUAGUAUGUAACAAAUCUGAGUUUUCUAUGCUGUGAAUUAUUAAAUACAAUAUGAUAUAUUAUAGUGUAAAGAAUGUUAGUCAUACUCUUGGGCUUCAUAAGUAAGUUCAUUUGUGCUUUGUUUUCUUACUCUAACUGAUCAGCUGGUAUUAGUUUAGGAUUCCUUAUCAUUCCAUCAACUCAUUAUAAUUAGCUCAUUAACUUAAAAAUUAGAUUAAUCUCAAAAUAAGAAUAGCAGUACUAUGAGGAAUUCAUAAAAUGCAAUUUCAUGUUAGAACUAGACUAAAGGUAAUUGCAUGGUUAUUUGCAAUUUUUCAUUAUAACACUUACAUGUUUACGAUUUCUAAGGUUUUACCUUUGGUACAGUCCUUAGGAAUUUAGAAGUUUCCAGGGAUUCACUACAUUACAGUGUUCGCCUAAUUGAUACUGGUCUUCACUGUGGAUUUUAAUGAACUUUAGUGUUUACUUUCUAAAACAUAGAUUGCACUUGGAAUGUUACUUUGGUUCUUCAUGAAUGCAUUUUGUGAAAAAAAAAUGAUACUUUCACAGUUGGAGCAACUUGUUUGUGACGUGUUAAGCAAUAUUUAAAAAAUAUAAUUUUACACAUGUAAAGUGUAGUCAUAAUAAGCCAAAUUGUAUUUAAGACUAAAUUUACUGUCCAUUUUGAAUAAGACAUUCCCACAUUACUUUUAUAUCGUCAGAUUAACUCUUCUGUUUGAUAGCACUUUCCCCUGUGGACAUGAGCUGGAAAAAUGAUAUAUUUUUAUAGGAUUGUUUGUCCAGAAUGACUUCAGAUAUGCAUGAUAUAGUGGAAAGAGCACUGACUAGUAAUUUCUACGCUUUUUGGAUUCAGAGCUCCUCACAAAAAGAAAAAAUGAGGGGGCGGGACAAGGUGAAACUAUAACAACAUCCCUUUGUGUACUGUUCCGCUGCUCACAGCGUACUCUGGCAUUACUUUCUCUCUCAGGAUUCUCACGGUAGGACUUCUGAGAUCUUAAUCAAGGAGUGCCAGCGUUGUCUCUGCCAGCAGAGGGGGUCUCUGCUUUGUCCAUUGAUGGCAUAGCUGACACCAGAACCCCUGUACGGCUGACUACUAGUCAGAGGCACUUUACUCGUAUCAUGGAAUGAUUUGAAAUCUUUGUAAAGCAGCAAAAUCUGAUAAUGACUGCCAGCUUUCCUUGUAUACUCCAAGUAUUCCGGAGAACCUGGAUAUAAGAUUACUUUGAAGGAAUAGAUUAGGAUUUGAAGACAUUACAGUGUAGGGAAUUUUAUAUUUGUGCAGUAACAAACAUUAAUCAAGGCAAAACGUUGUAAAAGUAGUUUUAAUUCACCUUAGGUUUUAUUAGUGUCUUAAUGCUUCUAAAUGAAGACAACUAAAAGGGGCACCAAUUUUGUUUGGCUAAAUCCUGACAUCUAAAAAUACAGAUUUGUGGGCAUCUUUUUCUAUUCACAUAAAUUUAUUGACUAAAAUGAGAAGGGGGGGAAGCAAGGUUCGAUUAAAUAAAAUUUUCUCUGCAUUGGUCUUUUCCCUAUCUUAUCUAGAUUUUCUUAUUUUUCCUCACCAUGCCUCCCACUUUUUGGGUGUUAAUUUUAAACAGGGAAAGCUCGCUACAUUACAAAGGAUGUUGGCACCACUUAUUUUACACAAAGGCUAAAGGUUGACUUUUGGAAAUGAUGAGCUACUUUUCCAUAUGUGUUUACUUGUGCUUUGUGAUAUUUCUGGAUCAUUCCAGUCAUAAAGACUUAUUACAUGUAAUAUUUCUUGCUACUUGUGAAAAGGUGUAUUUUUAAAGAAUGUAUAACCAACAAUCCAUUUACUUUUUAUUAGUAUGUAGAGAAUUUAUUUGUAUCUAAUUCAUGAAUGUAGUUUUACUAUAGGAUGUCAUUGUAAAUGGAGCAAAGUACAUUAUCUUUAUAGUUAUUCUAAAAUGUACAUUAUGUAAGAAUUGUAAAUAUUACACCUGAUUAAAUACUUUGUAUACUGAGAAAUUAUGUCAUCAAUAAAAUCUCACCUCUGGCACAGUU